rnacentral:rRNA from 1 species
GAUGAACGCUGACAGAAUGUUUAACACAUGCAAGUCGACUUGAAGCAAUUUCGGUUGUGGAAAGUGGCGGACGGGUGAGUAACGCGUAAAGAACUUGCCCUUCAGUCUGGGACAACCAUUGGAAACGAUGGCUAAUACCGGAUAUUAUGGAACGCUCGCAUGGGAGGAUCAUGAAAGCUAUAUGCGCUGAAGGAGAGCUUUGCGUUCCAUUAGCUAGUUGGUGAGGUAACGGCUCACCAAGGCGACGAUGGAUAGCCGGCCUGAGAGGGUGAUCGGCCACAAGGGGACUGAGACACGGCCCUUACUCCUACGGGAGGCAGCAGUGGGGAAUAUUGGACAAUGGACCAAAAGUCUGAUCCAGCAAUUCUGUGUGCACGAUGAAGGUUUUCGGAUCGUAAAGUGCUUUCAGUUGGGAAGAAGAAAGUGACGGUACCAACAGAAGAAGCGACGGCUAAAUACGUGCCAGCAGCCGCGGUAAUACGUAUGUCGCAAGCGUUAUCCGGAUUUAUUGGGCGUAAAGCGCGUCUAGGCGGGUUCAUAAGUCUGAUGUUAAAAUGCGGGGCUCAACUCCGUAUUGCGUUGGAAACUGUGAACCUAGAGUAUCAGAGAGGUGGGCGGAACUACAAGUGUAGAGGUGAAAUUCGUAGAUAUUUGUAGGAAUGCCGAUGGAGAAGUCAGCUCACUGGAUGAAUACUGACGCUAAAGCGCGAAAGCGUGGGUAGCAAACAGG